rnacentral:rRNA from 1 species
UACAACAUAGCGCUAAUGCAUCGGAUCCCAUUAGAACUUCGUAGUUAAGCGCGCUCAGGCUAGAAUAGUAUUGGGAUGGGUGACCGCCCAAGAAGUCUUAGUGUUUUAC